GAUGAACGCUAGCUACAGGCUUAACACAUGCAAGUCGAGGGGUAGCACGGAGGAAGCUUGCUUCCUUGGGUGACGACCGGCGCACGGGUGAGUAACGCGUAUCCGACCUACCCAUAACUCGGGCACAGCCGCUCGAAAGAGUGAUUGAUUCCCGAUAUGUCAUUAGAGUAGAUUUAAUGAUGAAAGAUUCAUCGGUUAUGGAUGGGGAUGCGUAAGAUUAGGUAGUAGGCGGGGUAACGGCCCACCUAGCCGACGAUCUUUAGGGGUUCUGAGAGGAAGGUCCCCCACACUGGUACUGAGACACGGACCAGACUCCUACGGGAGGCAGCAGUGAGGAAUAUUGGUCAAUGGGCGGAAGCCUGAACCAGCCAAGUAGCGUGAAGGAUUACAGCCCUACGGGUUUUAAACUUCUUUUAUAUAAGAGUAAUGUGCACUACGUGUAGUGUAUUGCAAGUAUUAUACGAAUAAGCAUCGGCUAACUCCGUGCCAGCCGCCGCCGUAAGAC
rnacentral:rRNA from 1 species